ensembl:misc_RNA 7SK 7SK RNA
AGAUGUGAGAGCAAUCUGGCUGAGACAUCUGUCACCUCUUUGUUCGUCAGUACUGACUCUUCUGAGCUAACUGAUGAGGCAGAUGCCCCUCUUCCUUCCUCACGGCUCCAUGUGUGCCGUUCCCUACGAUGCUGUAUACGUGGAAGUACUGGCAAGCAAGCAAGAAGAGAAGCCAUCACCAUGAGCAAGACUGUCUAAGGAAAGA